UAAUGGCAGGUCAGCAUACUGCCGUGAAUACGUUCCCGGGCCCAUGUACACACCGCCCGUCACACCAUGAGAGUUGGGAAUACCCGAAGCCUGUGAGCUGACGUUAAGAGGCAGCAGUCGAAGGUAGAAUCAAUGAUUGGGGUGAAGUCGUAACAAGGUACC
rnacentral:rRNA from 1 species